GAUUGACAUGAGUUAUGACACCCUCCCCUCGCAGAUGUAUGCCAGUCCUAGCCCAUAGAAAUGCAAGGUGUCUCUGAGCCUAAUAAGCAAAGUGACAUUCCGCCAGCACUGUGCAUAAUAAACUCCUGCGCUUGACUCUACACCGUGUGGAUUAUUGUUCCUUCAGAUGGGGGCUUGUCCAGGAUACAAGCUUGUGAACUGAUUGAGGAACUGAGACUGAGAUCCAAGAGAGGUUCGAAGUGGCCGUCACUGAGAAACUGAUGCACAUGGAGCUGGUCCAGAUGAACGGUACCUUCUGGUGUGUGACUACCCAGAACCACUCCAUCGAGUUAAAUGGAAAGCCCUGUCCCUCGACACAUGCAUCCAUGUGCACGACGGUUCCCCAAAGGGCAACCCUAACUGUUGACGGGACACGGCUCCACCAUACUCUGCCAAUGACGGCUAACCUUACAUGGGAUCGGGAAUGGCACUACGACAGUAAGUAUCUAGAGGAGGAUCUUCUGGCCCUGCAGGCGAAGAUCGAGGAGUUGGUGGCCGAGGCCCAGAGACACAUUGGGGAAGGCCGUCUAAGGUACACUUGGAUAGGGGAGACCGUGGACCAGGCCAGUGUUAAGUACUCUAAGGCACAGAAUCAGGCAAUGGAGGUUAAAUCAAUAAUUAUGGGCAAUGCCAUCUCAGGUAAUGAGAUCCCCUGGGGAUGGAUCUGGGUGCUAUUCUGCCAAAUUAUGUGGGGACUGUCCAUCCUGACAUUCCUGAUAGUGUUGAUACUUUACCGGCGAUUCCAAAGUAAACUGAAAAUGCUAAAAUUGUUAUACUUGACCUGGCAGCUUAGGGAACCCUAGAGUCAAGAGGAGGGACUGAAGGGUCAGAAUCCAUUAGCUAUGGAUGUAAGAUCUUAACUACAGUUUCUCCUGAGAACUUUUCAUGUAGGCCCGGAGUCCACAGCUUGGCUUGGGCUAUGGGGGCUGGCUAACAGAGAACAAUACAUAGCUCAGAGGAAGCUGGGGUAAACAAAUAACCUUGUGUAUUUCAAGUCAGUGAGCGGAGUCAGCAUAAUCCCGAAUGUAAUUGGGCGUCCAUAUCGUGAGUUAUAAACACAUGAAGCGCUGAGAAAGGUCUCACGGUUACUCCCUAAAGCAGGGAGGAGAUAGUGGUACAAUACCCCUCACAUCCUAGACAAAGUUUGGGGAGAGGCCUAAUAUGAUUGACAUGAGUUAUGACACCCGCCCCUCACAGAUGUAUGCCAGUCCUGGCCCAUAGAAAUGCAAGGGUAAGCUUGUGAAAUUGUUAAGUACUAAUUACUGCUUUUUCGCUUUAAAUCUCUAGGAAUGUACCUGUUGGUCAACCGAAAGAGCUGCUACCUCAUUCCCCUGGACCCCAACAUUAGGAUUUAACCUAUACCCUUUAAUAGACAUAGUUUGGGGGUAAUUACCUGUGUGUCAGCAAUAUGUGAAUUUGGGCCAUGGGCGGAACCAUUAUAUAAUCUUUUAGACCAUUGACUUAUUGUGCUUAUCUUGUCUUGCUGUUAGAACCUAUCCAGGGGUUUGGGAAAACCCAUUCCUUUCGCUUCUCUCCGCCCAAUGAGCACCAUAUAUAAUCUAUUGUGACUAAUUGUUUUGCAGUGUCUCUGAGCCUAAUAAGCAAAGUGACAUGCAGCCAGCACUGUGCGUAAUAAACUCUACACCACGUGGAUUAUUGUUCCUUUACUCAUGAAGUCAUACACAGGCACCCUGGACAGUAGUAAGGAGCUGUUCAACUACAGGCUGAGCAAGUGCAGAAUG